rnacentral:lncRNA from 1 species
UUUCCUUCACUUCCAUGAGGUCCCUGGAGGCACAGGACAGACCCGCAAACAGGAAGAGCAGUGGGGCAGGCCACAGGCUGGCACCCAGCACCCAGCCCAGCAGGCGAGUUCUAUUUAAACGAAGAAAGAAAGCACAUUCCAGAUCCUUUUGUUCAUCCAGAGACUUCAGGUAAAAAUUGAGGCAAUUAAAUUAUGCAUCCUGGCGGCUUUCUCUCACCGUCAGCACGAGUCGAGAUUUUUUUUUUUUUGAGAAGUAAAACAUGAAAUUCAAAAUGUAUCUCGAGUCACAGCACGAUGGUUUACCAGAUGAGUCAAGAGGAAGACCUCCCUCCGUUCUGUCAUCAGGGCUGCCUGAGGAGGGCACCAGCCGGUUCUCCAGCAGUCAGGUCUGACAGGCUGGCAGCCUUCAUGCCAUCCCCUCGGCCAGAGGCUCAGACGCGUGCAAGAAUCACGUGGACAAGGAGGGCCGGUACUGGUGGGCCUUGAACGCCAGGCUAAGCCAUUUGAAUUCAAUUUUGUGUCCAAUUAGUUGGCUUGCUGUCUCUCAGGAAACUGCAAGGACUUUCACAAAAUGCAG